rnacentral:rRNA from 1 species
UACGGAGGGUGCGAGCGUUGUCCGGAAUCAUUGGGCGUAAAGGGCGCGUAGGUGGCCCGGCAAGCGUGCGGUGAAAGCUCGGGGCUCAACCCCGAGUCGGCCGUGCGAACUGCUGGGCUCGAGCACUGUAGAGGCAGGCGGAAUUCCGGGUGUAGCGGUGGAAUGCGUAGAGAUCCGGAAGAACACCGGUGGCGAAGGCGGCCUGCUGGGCAGUGGCUGACACUGAGGCGCGACAGCGUGGGGAGCAAACAGGG